GAUGAACGCUGGCGGCGUGCCUAAUACAUGCAAGUCGAGCGAACAGACGAGGAGCUUGCUCCUCUGACGUUAGCGGCGGACGGGUGAGUAACACGUGGAUAACCUACCUAUAAGACUGGGAUAACUUCGGGAAACCGGAGCUAAUACCGGAUAAUAUAUUGAACCGCAUGGUUCAAUAGUGAAAGACGGUUUUGCUGUCACUUAUAGAUGGAUCCGCGCCGCAUUAGCUAGUUGGUAAGGUAACGGCUUACCAAGGCAACGAUGCGUAGCCGACCUGAGAGGGUGUUCGGCCACACGGGAACUGAGACACGGUCCAGACUCCUACGGGAGGCAGCAGUAGGGAAUCUUCCGCAAUGGGCGAAAGCCUGACGGAGCAACGCCGCGUGAGUGAUGAAGGUCUUCGGAUCGUAAAACUCUGUUAUUAGGGAAGAACAAAUGUGUAAGUAACUAUGCACGUCUUGACGGUACCUAAUCAGAAAGCCACGGCUAACUACGUG
rnacentral:rRNA from 1 species